rnacentral:rRNA from 1 species
AGCAGCCGCGGUAAUUCCAGCUCCAAUAGCGUAUAUUAAAGUUGUUGCAGUUAAAAAGCUCGUAGUUGAAUUUCGAGACCGGUUUACUGGUCGUGCUUUUGUACGUACUGGUAUUAUUGGUUUCUCCUUUCUGACGAAUCAUAAUGCCAUUAAUUUGGUGUUUUGGGGAAUCAGGACUGUUACUUUGAAAAAAUUAGAGUGUUUAAAGCAGGCUCACGCUUGAAUACAUUAGCAUGGAAUAACGAAAUAGGACGUUUGAUUUUAUUUUGUUGGUUUCUAGGAUCGACGUAAUGAUUAAUAGGGAUAGUUGGGGGCAUUAGUAUUCAAUUGUCAGAGGUGAAAUUCUUGGAUUUAUUGAAGACUAACUACUGCGAAAGCAUUUGCCAAGGAUGUUUUCAUUAAUCAAGUA